GGAUCUGUUAUGUUCUUCAGUUCUAGGUUUUUUUAUGAUUAUUUAUUGUAUCUAUGGUGUUCUUCAGUUCUAGGAUUUUUUAUGAUUUUUCCUUUUUGUUUUGACUAUAGUGACCUACAAGGCUAGCACGGCCCAUCAGGCUUAAUGGGCCAUCAUAGCACAAUUAACUAUUUUUAGGGUCAUGCCUUGCCUAAGGUUGAGUCUGUUAGGUGGC
rnacentral:lncRNA from 1 species